rnacentral:rRNA from 1 species
GACGAACGCUGGCGGCGUGCUUAACACAUGCAAGUCGAACGGAAAGGCCCUGCUUGCAGGGUACUCGAGUGGCGAACGGGUGAGUAACACGUGGGUGAUCUGCCCUGCACUUCGGGAUAAGCUUGGGAAACUGGGUCUAAUACCGGAUAGGAACCAUCUUUAGUGUGGUGGUUGGAAAGUUUUUUCGGUGUAGGAUGAGCUCGCGGCCUAUCAGCUUGUUGGUGGGGUAAUGGCCUACCAAGGCGGCGACGGGUAGCCGGCCUGAGAGGGUGUACGGCCACAUUGGGACUGAGAUACGGCCCAGACUCCGACGGGAGGCAGCAGUGGGGAAUAUUGCACAAUGGGCGCAAGCCUGAUGCAGCGACGCCGCGUGGGGGAUGAAGGCCUUCGGGUUGUAAACUCCUUUCGCUAGGGACGAAGCUUUGUUGUGACGGUACCUAGAUAAGAAGCACCGGCUAACUACGUG